UACGGGGGGUGCAAGCGUUGUCCGGAAUCAUUGGGCGUAAAGCGUUCGUAGGCGGUAAAGUAAGUCAGAUGUUAAAGCCCGGGGCUCAACUCCGGUUCGGCAUUUGAUACUACUUAACUGGAAUGCGGUAGAGGUUAAGGGAAUUCCUGGUGUAGCGGUGAAAUGCGUAGAUAUCAGGAAGAACAUCGGUGGCGAAAGCGCUUAACUGGGCCGUUAUUGACGCUGAGGAACGAAAGCCGGGGGAGCAAAU
rnacentral:rRNA from 1 species